rnacentral:rRNA from 1 species
AUUGAACGCUGGCGGCAGGCCUACCACAUGCAAGUCGAGCGGAGCGGCGGACGGGUGAGUAAUGCCUAGGAAUCUGCCUGGUAGUGGGGGAUAACGUCCGGAAACGGGCGCUAAUACCGCAUACUAUCAGAUGAGCCUAGGUCGGAUUAGCUAGUUGGUGGGGUAAAGGCCUACCAAGGCGACGAUCCGGAACUGGUCUGAGAGGAUGAUCAGUCAACCUGGAACUGAGACACGGUCCAGACCCCUACGUGAGGCAGCGUGGGGGAAUAUUGGAGAAUGGGCGAAAGCCUUAUCCAGCCAGGCGGCGUGUGUGACGAAGGUCUUCGGAUUGUAAGGCACUUUAAGUUGGGAGGCGUUACCAACAGAGUAAGCACCGGCGAACUGCGAGCCAGCAGCCGCGGUAAUAC